CAGUCGCCGCGGUAAUACGUAGGUGGCAAGCGUUGUCCGGAAUUAUUGGGCGUAAAGGGCUCGCAGGGGGUUUCUUAAGUCUGAUGUGAAAGCCCCCGGCUCAACCGGGGAGGGUCAUUGGAAACUGGGAAACUUGAGUGCAGAAGAGGAGAGUGGAAUUCCACGUGUAGCGGUGAAAUGCGUAGAGAUGUGGAGGAACACCAGUGGCGAAGGCGACUCUCUGGUCUGUAACUGACGCUGAGGAGCGAAAGCGUGGGGAGCGAACAGGAUUAGAUACCCCCGUAGUCCCUGUCUCUUAUAC
rnacentral:rRNA from 1 species